GACUGGAUAGCCUAGUGGUAAAGGCAACACUCUAGCAUGUGUCUCAGCUAAUACUGAGGUCCCAGGUUCAAAUCCUGGUCUAGUCA
rfam:Melampsora larici-populina 98AG31 unplaced genomic scaffold MELLAscaffold_15, whole genome shotgun sequence.